GACGAACGCUGGCGGCGUGCUUAACACAUGCAAGUCGAACGGAAAGGCCCUGCUUUUGUGGGGUGCUCGAGGGGCGAACGGGUGAGUAACACGAGAGUAACCUACCCUUGACUUUGGGGUAACUUCAGGAAGCUGGGGCUAAUACCGGAUAGCAGCUCCUGCUGCGUGGUGGGGGUGGGAAAGUUUCGGCGGUUGGGGAUGGACUCGCGGCUUAUGAGCUUGUUGGUGGGGUAGUGGCUUACCAAGGAUUUGACGGGUAGCCGGCCUGCGAGGGUGACCGGCCACAUUGGGACUGAGAUACGGAGCAGACUGCUACGGGAGGCAGCAGUGGGGAAUAUUGCACAAUGGGCGGGAGCCUGAUGCGGCAACGUCGCGUGCGGGAUGACGGCCUUCGGGUUGUAAACCGCUUUAGCCUGUGACGAAGCGUGAGUGACGGUAAUGAGUAAAGAAGCACCGGCUAACUACGUG
rnacentral:rRNA from 1 species